rnacentral:lncRNA from 1 species
GGAUGUUGGUGGUAUGGCAGUAGAGGUUUGUAGCAGAAAUGCUAAAUGACAGCUUGAAACUGACUGAGCACCUGGUGGGAAGGCAGGGCCAACCCAGGGGAGCUCAGCUGUAUGCAAUUUGUUCAAGUGACCAGAAGGGGUGGAACCAGGAUCCUCCCCUUCCCAUACCACAUUUAAGGGUUGGCAGUGGAAGCAAAGUUACCUUGUUGGAGGUUCUUGUCUUUGUGAGGCCUUGUGAAGUCAUCAAAUGAUUUGGGACCAUUUGGCUCCUACUCCACCUGGCCUACUGACAUCUGUUGGGAUCACGUGUUUGUUGUGGGACUGCUACUGAGAUGGUGACAACACCUGGAAGAAAAAGAAGGAAAGGAGAAAGCUACCUCUUCAAAAAGCAGAAUAAUCUCAUUGAUUAUCACUUUGAUGCAUUAUUUAUCAUAUAAGUGUAUACAGGUGGCCACUUUACCAGAUGGACUGCCAUUGCACAUGUGAAAUAGAAGUUGCUGAGUGAUUGCCUUUUUCCCUUCCUUGCUGUCUAGAAACUUACUUUCUUUAGCUGCCACAUGCACCAAUGGCAAGUAAGUAACUUGGCCUCCUGAACACAUCAUAUUAACAGAAACAGCCAAAGUAUUUAUGGAAGACGUGAAUGGAAGUUGGGAUGCAGAGAAGAAAACAACAACAGUGUGUCAUUGGACACAUUUUUCAACAUGAUUUAUGUGCUGGAACACAGGAACCUUAUUUGCUGAAAUGUUAUUUGAUAUUUGGAUCACCAAAAUAAUUCAUCAUUUGGAUAAACGUGAAUUGUUGCUAAGUUGCUUUUGGAAUCCCUAUAGUAGUGACCUGCAUAUCUGGGUGCCUGAAUACUUUUAUGAUUCAAAUCCCUGAAAACUUUCAUCUCCCAAACCUCUCAGGAGGCCUUCAUGCCUCGAGGGCAAAGCAUGGAUGCUGCUGAUAUUGUGCAGCCAUUCCAAAUAACAGUUUAGGAAAUAAACUGAAGAAUCUCAUUGUUAAUGGAACUUCAAAGGAAAUUCAGGCAAUGCAGAAUGGAGAAGGGAAGAGCAGAUAUUUUGUAUUUAUAGUAGACAGCUUAUCUGACAGAUUUAGCUCCUCUCGCUGCUUCAGCCCUACUUGUGAACAGCUUUCAUUCAUCUCAGAUGUUUUUGUUAUUCAAAAGCUCUUGGUCUGUAGAAUGUUCUCGAGCCGCUCCUUGUGAGUACUUAAUACAUGAAAGUAAAGAGUCAAACUGAUUCUUUGCUCUGAAUAAUUUCUAUGUAUUGCUUUGACUCAUCCACUUUCCUCAUCAUUUCAGAUCUCAGAGGAACACUUUUUCUAUUUCAUUCAUACAGUUUAAUUGCUCCCAACACUCUUUAUUGAUCUCUUUUUAUAUUGUAAUCCAUGUCUUUUCCAUCAUUUUCCCCCAUCCACUCCCCUCCUCUUCCUGGUCUAUUAUUAUUACUUGACUAAUUUUUUAGAAUUGUACUAUAAUUACUCAGAGCAGGCACUUGUUACUGUUGUGCAGAGCACUUUGCAAACAUGUCGUGUUGUAUAAAUAAGAAUUACAGCUACAGAAAUACUUAUACUGCAAAAUGGUUGAGAGACUAAUAUAUACCAGAGACACUCUAUGAAAUAGAAUUAUUUAUUAUAAUUAUCCCAUCUCUGGUACUGACAUUCAAAAGUAUUUUAGGUGAAUCACUCUCCUUCUCUAUUCUGUUUUUUUUUUUUUUUUUUAGCUGACUCAGACUUGCAAGAAAUGUUGGGGAAGUGAUAGCAUUGGUUUGUUUCUAGGCACUCUAGAAAUCUUUUGAAUAUAACAUCUACUUUCUUCUCCUGCUUUCUACUGGCGUACCUCUCAGCCUUUGAGUAAAGGAAAUGAGUUUUGUUUUACAGCUGGGGAAGCAAACACAGAAAAGUGAAACUGGGGCCCUUGGGGACACCUGAAGCAUGUCUGUGAGCACAGACCAAGUCUCCAGUGCUCUCAUCACCUGACAUUUUUAAUGGGCAAUGCUUUUCCACAAGGUAAGUUAUUGGACUGAGAAGGACUGUUAUGUGCAGUGUUGUAUGGCAGCUUUCUCUUCUCUGAAGUGAUGCUUGCAGUCUGUUAAACCUGGGAAAAUAAUGGAAAAUAGAGAUCCCUCCAAACCCUUCUGGAUUUGUAAUUUCUACAUAUGAAGUAUUUACUUUUCUUCUGCCCAGAAAUGAAGCCAAAAUAGAAACCUUAAGGGAUUCUCUUAUUUUUCCUAAGAAGGCAAACAAACCAAAUCUUACUAAGCUAGCCAUCAGUCAUACCCUGGUGCACCUUGCCUGCUGCUGGUUCUGCAGCUCUCUGCUGCUCUAGUCUGGCUGAUACAUACUCAGCCCACCCAGAAGUAAGGGUGAUGGAAGCAGUGAGCGAUUUAUCUGUCAGUCCAAAGAGAUGGUCCCUAAACAACACCUCAGAGGAAACUCAAAAGCUUUGAUGGUUUCUGUGAAGAUGUUCUGCUAGAACAUUCCUUCCCGCGCACAUCUUGAACUGGAACACUUUGUCUUUCCUAAGCAGGCUGCCUGGACAGGAGGGAUGCUGUGCCGCAUGACACUUUGGUAGGAUCUCUUCCCUACCCAUCCCACAUAGUUGCAGAGCUCUCACUAUACCACAAAGUAUUGUAUGUAUGAAAUGUGGAAAGAAUGCCUUUUAGAAAAGCAUGUAGCUCAAAGCAUGCAGACUUUACCAUCACAAUUGAUACCUGGAGUUUCAAAGAGGAAGGGCAGUGUUUUCAAAGAUGUGUUUUUUGAGGUUUGCUGCCUGGCCUCUGGCAUUUUGAGGCUGAUCCCAAGGACUGCACCUUACUGGCUGAGUGAGGCAUAUGGUCCCACAGCAGAGCGUGGCAUGUACAUGGUUAAAUAAACAGGUGUUUUGAGGCCUUGAAUUUGGGGCAGAGAUAUGAUAAGAACCUGCGUGGACUUAAGUCCUACUUUGGUCUCUUUGUAAGUCAUGGACUUUAUCAGGAAUGGUACGAUGUUAGUGCCUGAAGUCAGGAGAAGAAUGCAGAUGUGCUUUGAUAGGGCCUACAGUGGGAAAUAAGAAGCCCAACUGCAUGCAAAAAAAAAAAAAAGACCCCAUUGCAUGAGGAAAUCUCCACUUUGAAGGGUUUGCAUUUGAAAACUUAUAUUUUCUUCAGUGAACUCCCUGGAAGUGUGAAGGUAGUGAAAAUCCAUGGCUUAUGGCUUUUUCUACUGUCACCUAAAAGUUAGAGGAAGCAAAUUCCAUGUUAAAGCUUUAAGAUCUGUGCAAGCAAUACAAAAACAAAGUAGGUUAGUCUGCUCUGAAACAGCAUGCGACUUGUGGUGGUCUCCUGAGAAACACUUCCUAUUUCUGUUUGGAGAAUGUGUGGCUACACAGUGAUUGGGGGCCCAUCAGAAAAAGAUGGAGGGGAAAAAGGGGAAAUGAGUUCCUUCAAUUUCUUUAUAAGCUUCAGGAUUGUUCCUCAGUUUUCUGACAGAAGCCUGUUUUGAAUGUACAUCUGUGAGGGAUUUGUUAUAUAGAAUAGACAGGAGAUGCACUGUGUUUAUUUACCCAGAGAGAUGAAAUUCUCAAUUCCCGGUUGCGGGAUGUCCUCAGGCAUGCAGAAGAGGAGAGGGGGGGGAAAAAAGAGGGAGAGGCAAUUUCAUAAGCCAGGUGGUUUAACUCUGCUCUGAAAAGCUGGAUCCCAUCCUCCAUUAGUUCCUAAGUAAUACCAGACGAGUCGUGGAAUUAAACUGGAAGAAAAAUAGGAGUUUCUGAUUUCCCAGGUGCUCCUUUAAUACACUGAGGCUGGAUUUACAGAAGGGAUGAGUGUUCACAAAUGAAAUGUAAAUAUAAGAAGCUGUAUGGAGCAAGAAUCUCUGGAGGAAAAGAGAAGUGACAAGGCUCAAAUUUAUGAUUCCUUUUGACUGUGACACGUCUGGGCAUCAAACCCCAGUCUGCGGAGUGAGAUCUGAUUUCACUGGGGAUGACUGUGCUCACAGCAGUAUUUGUGAUGCGCUCAGACACUGCUGUAAUGACUGCAUUAAGAGUCCCUGAAGAAAUAAGUCAUCCUUUUUUUCAGUCUGACAACUUUACCAUAAAUAAAACACAAUUUAGAGUGGGGCUCUGCUGGACUGGGGUGGGUGAGUGUGGAACAAGCCUGAGUAUGUCUGUGCUGUACUCUGAGUGUGCCCAAAGACAAGACUGUGGUACCAAGCAGACAUGAUUAUGCCACUUUUGGGGAUGUUUAUGUAUGUUGGGGUGUGAUACUUCACCAAAUGAAUAAAUCCUUCCAGAACUGGUGUGGUGCAGAGACAUCUAAGCUGGCUCUGGAUACACAUAUAAAGG